UACAGAGGGGGCAAGCGUUAUUCGGAAUUAUUGGGCGUAAAGGGCGCGUAGGCGGCCUGGCAAGUGGAAGGUGAAAUCCCUCGGCUUAACCGAGGAACUGCCCUCCAAACUGCUUGGCUUGAGUCCGGGAGAGGUGAGUGGAAUUCCCAGUGUAGCGGUGAAAUGCGUAGAUAUUGGGAGGAACACCAAUGGCGAAGGCAGCCCCCUGGGUCAACACUGACGCUCAUGCACGAAAGCGUGGGGAGCAAACAGG
rnacentral:rRNA from 1 species